rnacentral:rRNA from 1 species
GGAGGAAAGCAGGGGAUCGCAAGACCUUACGCUUUUGGAGCGGCCGAUGUCUGAUUAGCUUGUUGGUGAGGUAAAGGCUUACCAAGGCUUCGAUCAGUAGCUGGUCUGAGAGGACGACCAGCCACACUGGGACUGAGACACGGCCCAGACUCCUACGGGAGGCAGCAGUGGGGAAUUUUGGACAAUGGGGGAAACCCUGAUCCAGCCAUGCCGCGUGAGUGAAGAAGGCCUUCGGGUUGUAAAGCUCUUUCAGCCGGAACGAAACGGUUACGAUUAAUACUUGUAACUACCGACGGUACCGGAAGAAGAAGCACCGGCUAACUACGUGCCAGCAGCCGCGGUAAUACGUAGGGUGCGAGCGUUAAUCGGAAUUACUGGGCGUAAAGCGUGCGCAGGUGGUUUUGUAAGUCAGAUGUGAAAUCCCCGGGCUUAACCUGGGAACUGCGUUUGAAACUACAAGGCUAGA